rnacentral:rRNA from 1 species
GACGAACGCUGGCGGCGUGCUUAACACAUGCAAGUCGAACGAUGAAGCCGGAGCUUGCUCUGGUGAAUUAGUGGCGAACGGGUGAGUAACACGUGAGUAACCUGCCCUUGACUCUGGGAUAACUGCUAGAAAUGGUAGCUAAUACCGGAUACGACCCUCGGAGGCAUCUCCAGGGGGUGGAAAGAAUUUCGGUCAAGGAUGGACUCGCGGCCUCUCAGCUAGUUGGUGAGGUAAGGGCUCACCACGGCGACGACGGGUAGCCGGCCUGAGAGGGUGACCGGCCACACUGGGACUGGGACACGGCCCAGACUCCUACGGGAGGCAGCAGUGGGGAAUGUUGCACGAUGGGCGCAAGCCUGAUGCAGCAACGCCGCGUGAGGAAUGACGGCCUUCGGGUUGUAAACCUCUUUUAGUAGGGAAGAAGCGAAAGUGGCGGUACCUGCAGAAAAAGCACCGGCUAACUACGUGCCAGCCGCCGCCGUAA